rnacentral:tRNA from 1 species
UAUAUUUUAGUGUAUGAUGCACAAGAAUUUUUGAUGUUCUUAGUAAUAGUUUAAUUCUAUUAAAUAUAAU